rnacentral:misc_RNA from 1 species
GGGUGUGUAUUAUUCGGUUAUAACCGAUUAACAGAACCGAACCGAUAAAAUUUGGUUUUUUCGGUAAAGGGGAAUUCGGUUUUCGGUUCGGUUAAUGAUUAAAGAAAAAAUCGAUAUUCAGUUAUCAGUUAGGUUUCACUUAAUUUUAUAACCGAAGUAACCGAAUUAACUGAAAUUUUAUUAAUUAACAAUUUUUUUAUUUUAUUAAAUUUAACAGAUAAACAGAGGGUGACUUUUCGUUCUCUGUUCCCCUAAUCCUGGUUUUCCAUAUAUAUUUUCACAUUUCUUGUGUCUUCUCCAAUAUUGAUGCUAUGCAGUAUAAUUUCUCUAUAUCUUUCCCUCAAACCAUUAUUCUUUAUCUAAUCUACACGCUGAUUAUUAGCCUUGGGCAUGCAAAUUAGUUUCCUUGAUUGCUGUAACUUUUUUAUUGAAUUAAACUAUCUAAAUAUUAUUUUAUUCUUUGAUUGUUUAUUUAUUUUUUUAUCUUAUGGAAACUUAAAGCAUUGCUUUAUUGUUGCAAAUGCAAUUGGCGUGUAUUGACUUCCUAUAUUUUUAAGUUUUAACUUUUAGUCCACUACUCCAAUUGCUGCAAUUUUUAUUUUUGUAUAUUGACUUCCUUUAUUUUUAUUGAAAGUUCUUUAUAUCAUUAUUAUAAACUUUUCAAUUUUCAUUUUUUUUUAUCUUUU